UGUGCGUAUGGGAAAAUUACCUCAGUUCUUCUUCUUCUUCUUCUUCUUCACUCCGGUCUGCAACAGGCUAUUGAUGAUGCUGGCCAUGACAAGGCGAGCGUGUACAAAGUCCGGGCCCUGGAGGCUGUGGACAAGGCCAUUGGUCAGCUGGCAAAGCUCUUGUGGCUAGCUGAAUCAUCUGGGAAGUUCAAGUAUUACCUCUGCGUCACUGGAGAUCACUCCACCCCUGUGGAGUACGGAGAUCACAGCUUCGAGCCUGUUCCAUUUGCUCUAUGCCAGUUGGAAGACUUUGUUUGUGC
rnacentral:lncRNA from 1 species